ACGAACGCUGGCGGCGUGCUUCACACAUGCAAGUCGAACGGAAAGGCCCUGCUUUUGUGGGGUGCUCGAGUGGCGAACGGGUGAGUAACACGUGAGUAACCUGCCCUUGACUUUGGGAUAACUUCAGGAAACUGGGGCUAAUACCGGAUAGGAGCUCCUGCUGCAUGGUGGGGGUUGGAAAGUUUCGGCGGUUGGGGAUGGACUCGCGGCUUAUCAGCUUGUUGGUGGGGUAGUGGCUUACCAAGGCUUUGACGGGUAGCCGGCCUGAGAGGGUGACCGGACACAUUGGGACUGAGAAACGGCCCAGACUCCUCCGGGAGGCAGAAGUGGGGAAUAUUGAAAAAUGGGCGGAAGCCUGAUGCAGCAACGCCGCGUGCGGGAUGACGGCCUUCGGGUUGUAAACCGCUUUCGCCUGUGACGAAGCGUGAGUGACGGUAAUGGGUAAAGAAGCACCGGCUAACUACGUG
rnacentral:rRNA from 1 species